ACCGUCUCAGUUCGGAUUGCAGGCUGCAACUCGCCUGCAUGAAGUUGGAAUUGCUAGUAAUCGCGGAUCAGCAUGCCGCGGUGAAUACGUUCCCGGGCCUUGUACACACCGCCCGUCACACCAUGAGAGUCGGGAACACCCGAAGUCCGUAGUCUAACCCACAAGGGGGGCGCGGCCGAAGGUGGGUUCGAUAAUUGGGGUGAAGUCGUAACAAGGUACC
rnacentral:rRNA from 1 species